AUGUUCUCUGCAGCUCUGAUGCUGCUGCUGACAGCUGGAUCCUGUGUGGACAGUAUUGAUCUCAUCCAGCCAGACUCAAAGGUUGUUCAGCCUGGACAGUCUUUGACCAUCAGCUGUCGGGUUUCUGGAUAUUCACUGACUGACAGCUAUGGAACAGGCUGGAUCAGACAGAGAGAAGGAAAACCAAUGGACUGGAUUUUCCAUGUUUAUUCUGAUGGGAGCUCAAGCCAAAAUGAAGCUCUGAAAAACAAGUUCAGCUUCAGCAGAGACACUUCUGCAGGAACAGUGACAAUAACAGGACAGAAUCUGCAGCCUGAAGACACAGCUGUGUAUCACUGUGUGAGAUAUCCCACA